GAUGAACGCUAGCGGCAAGCUUAAUACAUGCAAGUCGAGGGGCAGCAUGACUGUAGCAAUACAGUUGAUGGCGACCGGCAAACGGGUGCGGAACACGUACAGAACCUUCCUUCGAGCGGGGAAUAGCCCAGAGAAAUUUGGAUUAAUACCCCAUAGUAUUACGGAGUGGCAUCACUUUGUAAUUAAAGAUUUAUCACUUGAAGAUGGCUGUGCGGCUGAUUAGAUAGUUGGCAGGGUAACGGCCUACCAAGUCUACGAUCAGUAACUGGUGUGAGAGCACGACCAGUCACACGGGCACUGAGACACGGGCCCGACUCCUACGGGAGGCAGCAGUAAGGAAUAUUGGUCAAUGGACGAAAGUCUGAACCAGCUAUGCCGCGUGGAGGAUGAAGGCCCUCUGGGUUGUAAACUUCUUUUAUAUGGGACGAAAAAGGGCCUUUCUAGGCCAACUGACGGUACCAUGUGAAUAAGCACCGGCUAACUCCGUGCCAGCCGCCCGCAGUAACAC
rnacentral:rRNA from 1 species